CGAUGGCCAGGCUGUGUUCGCUGAUUCUAUAUCUGGUCAAGGAUUUCCUCAGUUUUGGAUCGGUCACAGUGGUCAGGUAUUCUGCCACUGUGUAGUCUCUGUUAGGUGACAAAUAGCAUGCCAAUAUACUCUUUCCACUCUUUCUCUCUCUCUCUCUCUCUCUCUCUUUCUCUCUCUCUCUCUCUCUCUCUCUCUCUCUCUCUCUCUCUCUCUCUCUCUCUCUCUCUCUCACUCACUCAGUCACUCACACACACAAUAUGUCUCUCCCACACACACACACACACACACACACACACACACACACACACACACACACACACACACACACACACACACACACACACACACACACACACACACACACACACACACACACAAAUUCUGCCGAUCCCAUAAUGUGGUGAGAAUACAUAUCUGUAGUGAACUCAUAGACAUGUGCAAUACACUAUCUGCUAUAUUAUACCUAUGUAUGUUGUAUCUUUAUAUUCAAUAGAAAAUAAUUGUGUGUGUGUGUGUGUGUUUGCAUGCGUCCGUGAGUCUGUGUGUCAAAUGAAGACAUCUGAUAAAGUGGAAGAAAAACACUGUCACUUCAUGACACUGAUGUUAUCAGAUUGCAGGCUGACGAUUGGUCAGAAUUAAAACAUGUGACGUGGUUUUUUCAGCUGAUAUAGCAGAGCCGACUCCUGAGAGCAGACGUAUUGGAAGCUGUCAGGGAGGAACCACGGUUGCCAUCACUGAACCGGACCCUGGACUCUCUGAGGAACCUGAGGACACGUUUUUAGACCGGAGGGAGCGCAAGAGAAGAUUUGGUGAUAGAGCAAAGAAAAAGGCUAAGUUCAGACGCCGUGGAAGCUGUCAGAAAGUAACAAUGGUCACCAUCUCUGAACCGGACCCUGGACUCUCUGAGGAACCUGAGGACACGUCUUUGGACCGGGAGGAGACCAGGAAGAGAAGAUUUGGUUCAGUGAUGCCCACGGAGGAGGAGGAGGAGGCCCCCAGCAUCACAGAGUUCCACUCCUCUACCCACGUGUUGCCCGUGGGCCAAACGGCCCGCUACACCUGCCACGCCGGCGGCACGCCGGAGCCCACAGUAGAGUGGCUCCACAACGGCAGGCCCCUGGAGAGGGACGGCACAGACGACCAAUCAGAGGCCUGGGUGGAGAGGGGGUUCCUCUUCGUCAGAGGUGGGAGGUACGGCGUGAACACGGUCUGCUGCAUGGCGAGCAACAGCGCUGGCACGGCCAAUCACACCGCUGAACUGCUUGUCUUUGGUAAGUCCUGGAUCCAAGGAGAGAUGUUUGUUGUUGAUGUAUUCAUAACAUUACUGUUGAUAUAUUCAUAGUGUUUUUGUUGAUAUAUUCAUAGCAUUGUUGUUGACAUAUAUUGUCUGUACAUUGUGGCAACCCGCUCCUUGAGUGAGCCGAGUUCCAUGUACAAAUCACGCUUGGCAGCAAGGGUUUAAGUCGAUCACGGCAUUUAUUGCGUACAUCUGUGACAGGCAAAGUAAACGCGGUAUCUAGGGCCUCCGUGGGCCUCUAGUCUCUCGCGGACCAGAGCGCUACCUUCUUCCUUGCUCCCGUUUGCCUUUUAUAGUCUUUCCCUGGCUGUCCAGGCAGGUGUCUCCCAUCCCGCUGAUUGGGGUUCGGUUGGUGCUCUCCGUCGCCCACUGGUGGGUGACGGUGGUAUCGGCCAUCCCGGACCAACCCUCGGGCUGGUCCGGGCCGAGGUUUACGGGGCGGGAUGCCACAACAUAUAUAUGGUAGGGGUGUAACGGUACACUGAAUUCAUGAUUUGGUUCAUACCUCGGUUCAUGGUUCGGCACGAGUUCGGUACAAUGAAGGGAAAAGAAAAAACAAAAAUGCAGAAGGCAAUUCUUUUUUAUUGUGCAUGUCUCAGGUUGUACCACGUAGUGUCAUACAGUCUCUCCCCUGAGCUAGCUGCAACAGCCUGAACUGUGUAAUCUAAGGCUACGUUUACACGAUGACGGUCUGAACAAAAGUGGUGUUGCGUAUUCACUUUUUAUUCCGCGUUUAGACGAGUGAUUUCGGGAGGAAAUCUGCGUGCAUACGGUGACGCAAAAGUGUGUGGAAUUCGAUUGGGUAUGCAUGCCAG
rnacentral:lncRNA from 1 species